ACAACUGCCUUCUUACAAGCUGUACAUGUGUCAUUAAAAGUCACUACUCUUGUUGUAACAUUAUGUAAUACAACAAACAAAGGCAGAAAAGGGAAUGGUAUGACACACUGUUAGGAGGUGCUGGAACCACUAUGGGUAUACUAAAUAGUUAUAGAUAUGGAGACCCUCAAGAAUAAGUUAAACACAGCCAGCAUGCAUAUAGGGACUGGUUUUCAUGCUACUGCAAAUUGGGCUCCAAUUGUUGUUAAAUCACAGGUUAGAGGAUUGGAUUUAGAUAAAUCAAUGUAUAAUUAUUUAGAUAAUUUAACUGUUGCAACUAUGAAAUUUACUAGAGGUCUAAGUAACUGGAGUACUUGUGCCAUCAGGUAUUUAUGGAUACAACAACAAGGAUUGGCAUUAGAAAACACACUAAUGAUUCCUAAACUAGAGAAGAUUAGAGGAAUGUGUAACCUCACAGAUAAUGAAUGGUUACUUCUAAAACCCCAAUCCAGUAAAUGCAAUGGAUGGUUAACUGGUAAUGUUUCACAUUUUUCAUGCUCAUGUUAUUUUACAUUAUAUCAUACAUCAUCAAAGGAUGUUAAAUUAGCUUGUCAAUUUAACACAUUACCAGUACCAGUUUAUGAUCUUUUUGCCAAGAAUUUAACCUGGUGGGCACCCACAUACACAGGGGACUAUAUUUUCCCAAAGAUAACACACACAGGUAGCCACACAUAUCCUAAAAGGAGAACUCCUUAAGGUGAGUUCACAAAUUCAGAAUGAUUUAGCCCAUCAUUGGUACAAUGCUUUACUGGUUGGUCCCCUACUGGAUCCCAGAUAAUGAAAUCAUUCUUCUAUCAUUUUGUUAUUAUAGUCCUGAUUUUAUUGUGUAUGGUUUUAUAUAACUGUCACCUUACUUGUACAUUGAGGAAGUGAGUACAGAAAGGAAUCCAUAAUGCAGAACAGAAACAAUUAGAAAUUCUCCUCUCUGCCACUGUAGAGUAUCAACCCAUCUUUAAACUGGGCCUUAGGAAUUACCACAUGGGAAUCGAG